rnacentral:rRNA from 1 species
UACGUAGGGGGCAAGCGUUGUCCGGAUUUAUUGGGCGUAAAGCGCGUGUAGGCGGCCAGGCAGGUCCGUUGUGAAAACUGGAGGCUCAACUUCCAGACGUCGAUGGAAACCGCCCGGCUAGAGUCCGGAAGAGGAGAGUGGAAUUCCUGGUGUAGCGGUGAAAUGCGCAGAUAUCAGGAAGAACACCAAUGGCGAAGGCAGCUCUCUGGGACGGUACUGACGCUGAGACGCGAAAGCGUGGGGAGCGAACAGG